rnacentral:rRNA from 1 species
GUUAACGAGGCGAACCGGGGGAACUGAAACAUCUAAGUACCCCGAGGAAAAGAAAUCAACCGAGAUUCCCCCAGUAGCGGCGAGCGAACGGGGAGCAGCCCAGAGUCUGAAUCAGCUUGUGUGUUAGUGGAACGGUCUGGAAAGUCCGACGGUACAGGGUGAUAGUCCCGUACACCAAAAUGCACAGGCUGUGAACUCGAAGAGUAGGGCGGGACACGUGGUAUCCUGUCUGAAUAUGGGGGGACCAUCCUCCAAGGCUAAAUACUCCUGACUGACCGAUAGUGAACCAGUACCGUGAGGGAAAGGCGAAAAGAACCCCGGCGAGGGGAGUGAAAAAGAACCUGAAACCGUGUACGUACAAGCAGUGGGAGCACCUUCGGGUGUGACUGCGUACCUUUUGUAUAAUGGGUCAGCGACUUAUAUUCUGUAGCAAGGUUAACCGUAUAGGGGAGCCGCAGGGAAACCGAGUCUUAACUGGGCGUUAAGUUGCAGGGUAUAGACCCGAAACCCGGUGAUCUAGCCAUGGGCAGGUUGAAGGUUGGGUAACACUAACUGGAGGACCGAACCGACUAAUGUUGAAAAAUUAGCGGAUGACUUGUGGCUGGGGGUGAAAGGCCAAUCAAACCGGGAGAUAGCUGGUUCUCCCCGAAAGCUAUUUAGGUAGCGCCUCGUGAACUCAUCUUCGGGGGUAGAGCACUGUUUCGGCUAGGGGGUCAUCCCGACUUACCAACCCGAUGCAAACUACGAAUACCGAAGAAUGUUAUCACGGGAGACACACGGCGGGUGCUAACGUCCGUCGUGAAGAGGGAAACAACCCAGACCGCCAGCUAAGGUCCCAAAGUCAUGGUUAAGUGGGAAACGAUGUGGGAAGGCACAGACAGCCAGGAUGUUGGCUUAGAAGCAGCCAUCAUUUAAAGAAAGCGUAAUAGCUCACUGGUCGAGUCGGCCUGCGCGGAAGAUGUAACGGGGCUAAACCAUGCACCGAAGCUGCGGCAGCGACACGAUGUGUUGUUGGGUAGGGGAGCGUUCUGUAAGCCUGCGAAGGUGACCUGUGAGGGUUGCUGGAGGUAUCAGAAGUGCGAAUGCUGACAUAAGUAACGAUAAAGCGGGUGAAAAGCCCGCUCGCCGGAAGACCAAGGGUUCCUGUCCAACGUUAAUCGGGGCAGGGUGAGUCGACCCCUAAGGCGAGGCCGAAAGGCGUAGUCGAUGGGAAACAGGUUAAUAUUCCUGUACUUGGUGUUACUGCGAAGGGGGGACGGAGAAGGCUAUGUUAGCCGGGCGACGGUUGUCCCGGUUUAAGCAUGUAGGCUGGUUAUCCAGGCAAAUCCGGAUAAUCAAGGCUGAGGUGUGAUGACGAGGCACUACGGUGCUGAAGUAACAAAUGCCCUGCUUCCAGGAAAAGCCUCUAAGCAUCAGGUAACAUCAAAUCGUACCCCAAACCGACACAGGUGGUCAGGUAGAGAAUACCAAGGCGCUUGAGAGAACUCGGGUGAAGGAACUAGGCAAAAUGGUGCCGUAACUUCGGGAGAAGGCACGCUGGUGUGUAGGUGAAGCCCCUGCGGGUGGAGCUGAGACCAGUCGAAGAUACCAGCUGGCUGCAACUGUUUAUUAAAAACACAGCACUGUGCAAACACGAAAGUGGACGUAUACGGUGUGACGCCUGCCCGGUGCCGGAAGGUUAAUUGAUGGGGUUAUCCGUAAGGAGAAGCUCUUGAUCGAAGCCCCGGUAAACGGCGGCCGUAACUAUAACGGUCCUAAGGUAGCGAAAUUCCUUGUCGGGUAAGUUCCGACCUGCACGAAUGGCGUAAUGAUGGCCAGGCUGUCUCCACCCGAGACUCAGUGAAAUUGAACUCGCUGUGAAGAUGCAGUGUACCCGCGGCAAGACGGAAAGACCCCGUGAACCUUUACUAUAGCUUGACACUGAACAUUGAGCCUUGAUGUGUAGGAUAGGUGGGAGGCUUUGAAGCGUGGACGCCAGUCUGCGUGGAGCCAACCUUGAAAUACCACCCUUUAAUGUUUGAUGUUCUAACGUUGGCCCCUUAUCGGGGUUGCGGACAGUGUCUGGUGGGUAGUUUGACUGGGGCGGUCUCCUCCCAAAGCGUAACGGAGGAGCACGAAGGUUAGCUAAUCCUGGUCGGACAUCAGGAGGUUAGUGCAAUGGCAUAAGCUAGCUUGACUGCGAGCGUGACGGCGCGAGCAGGUGCGAAAGCAGGUCAUAGUGAUCCGGUGGUUCUGAAUGGAAGGGCCAUCGCUCAACGGAUAAAAGGUACUCCGGGGAUAACAGGCUGAUACCGCCCAAGAGUUCAUAUCGACGGCGGUGUUUGGCACCUCGAUGUCGGCUCAUCACAUCCUGGGGCUGAAGUAGGUCCCAAGGGUAUGGCUGUUCGCCAUUUAAAGUGGUACGCGAGCUGGGUUUAGAACGUCGUGAGACAGUUCGGUCCCUAUCUGCCGUGGGCGCUGGAGAAUUGAGGGGGGCUGCUCCUAGUACGAGAGGACCGGAGUGGACGCAUCACUGGUGUUCGGGUUGUCAUGCCAAUGGCACUGCCCGGUAGCUAAAUGCGGAAGAGAUAAGUGCUGAAAGCAUCUAAGCACGAAACUUGCCCCGAGAUGAGUUCUCCCUGAGACUUUAAGUCUCCUGAAGGAACGUU